AUGGAGAAGCCUCCAUCUACUGGUGCAGAGGACAUCAGGAAUGAGAAGGUCAAGGUUCUGAAGAGUAUUUCCCAAGUGGAGCUUGACAAUGUCGUCCUGGGACAGUAUGUGGGAAAUCCCGAGGGACAGGGGGACGAGAAACAGGGCUACCUGGAUGACCCAACAGUUCCUAAAGGCUCCGCGACCCCAACCUUUGUGACAGCUGUCCUGAUGGUGAAAAAUGAGAGAUGGGAAGGUGUGCCAUUCAUACUCAGGUGUGGAAAAGCCCUGAAUGAGAGGAAGGCUGAGGUCAGGAUACAGUUCAAGGACGUGGCAGGGGACAUCUUCCCAGCAGGGGAAGUGAAGCGGAACGAAUUAGUGAUCCGUGUCCAGCCAGACGAGGCAGUGUACCUUAAGAUGAUGACUAAAUCGCCGGGCAUGACUUUUGGCUGUGAAGAGACGGAGCUUGACCUGUCUUAUAAAAGCCGAUACAAGGACUCCAAGCUUCCCGACGCCUAUGAACGUCUCAUUCUGGAUGUUUUUACUGGUUCCCAAAUUCACUUUGUUCGCUCUGAUGAACUCUACGAGGCGUGGAGAAUAUUUACACCAUUACUUCACAAAAUAGAAAAAGAGAAACCCAAACCAAUUCCCUACAAAUACGGCAGCCGAGGACCAAAAGAAUCGGAUGAACUGUGCCAUAGAUUUGAUUUCAUUUACUAUGGAACUUACAAAUGGAAUGAUAAGAAACCCUCUGUAUAAACGUUUCUGUGAUAGAGACCAGCAAGUCUGUGUUGCUCCCCCUGCUAGAUGAUGUAAAGCUGUUCCUUUUCCCUCCAUACCUUGAUGACCUUUGGCUGUUCUCUUUACCUCCAUCACCUUUGGAUUGAUUUAACACUCAUUUCAUACUAAUGACCUGGUUUUUGUCGAAUCAUCAUUAGAUUCACUAAAUCAACAUGUCUUGGGUGCUGUUUUUGUUGUGUUUUGGCUAGGUUUUUUUUGUUCUUUGUUUUUUUGUGGUUUUUUUUUUUUUUUUUUUUUUACAAUUUUGAACUUAUUUUAUCAAAAAAAAAAAUUAAGGAUUAACAUGUAAUUCAUUUGGUUAUAGUUGAUAUAAAUCAUAUAAUAGCUUCAACUGAGGGCAAGUAACCAAGGCUUAAUUUAUAUAAUUAAGAACUAUGAUGCCUGUGUUAUUGCAUAUCAGAGAUCAUAGUACAUGCAUUAAUUAUAUCUCUGGCGUGUUAUAUCAACAAGUUUUCAGUGCUUUUGAUUUUAAUUUGUUGAUGCAACAAUGAACGGUUUUUAUACACCACAUUGAUAUUGAAAGAUGGACGCAAAUUAUUAAAAGAUGUUAAUUAUUGUAUUUCUGAGUUCUCCAUCAUUACUUCACUAGUAAUUUAUGUAUCUUCUAUUGCUAUUGAUUAUUAAACUGAAGAUAAUGAAUCACUAAUUGUACUUUGUAGACCUGUUAUUUAUCAAUAAAUAUAUGAUCUCUCUAUCACUAAUCAGACAUUGUAUAUCUUGUAUUUUUCAAUAAAAUUAAGACAUUUUCAC
rnacentral:misc_RNA from 1 species